CAAGUAGAACGCUGAAGAAAGGAGCUUGCUUCUUUUGGAUGAGUUGCGAACGGGUGAGUAACGCGUAGGUAACCUGCCUUGUAGCGGGGGAUAACUAUUGGAAACGAUAGCUAAUACCGCAUAACAGCUUUUGACACAUGUUAGAAGCUUGAAAGAUGCAAUUGCAUCACUACGAGAUGGACCUGCGUUGUAUUAGCUAGUAGGUAGGGUAACGGCCUACCUAGGCGACGAUACAUAGCCGACCUGAGAGGGUGAUCGGCCACACUGGGACUGAGACACGGCCCAGACUCCUACGGGAGGCAGCAGUAGGGAAUCUUCGGCAAUGGGGGCAACCCUGACCGAGCAACGCCGCGUGAGUGAAGAAGGUUUUCGGAUCGUAAAGCUCUGUUGUAAGAGAAGAACGUGUGUGAGAGUGGAAAGUUCACACAGUGA
rnacentral:rRNA from 1 species